UACAGAGGUCCCGAGCGUUGUUCGGAUUCAUUGGGCGUAAAGGGUGCGUAGGCGGCGGGGUAAGUCUGAUGUGAAAUCCUGGGGCUCAACCCUGGAACUGCAUUGGAUACUACCUUGCUAGAGUACUGGAGAGGAAACUGGAAUUUACGGUGUAGCAGUGAAAUGCGUAGAGAUGUGGAGGAAUACCGAUGGCGAAGGCAGCCUCCUGGGCCAACACUGACGCUCAUGCACGAAAGCGUGGGGAGCAAACAGG
rnacentral:rRNA from 1 species